rnacentral:rRNA from 1 species
GACGAACGCUGGCGGCGUGCCUAAUACAUGCAAGUCGAACGUUCUUUCCUCCGAGUGCUUGCACUCAAUUGGAAAGAGGAGUGGCGGACGGGUGAGUAACACGGGGUAACCUACCCAUCAGAGGGGGAUAACACUUGGAAACAGGUGCUAAUACCGCAUAACAGUCUAUGCCGCAUGGCAUAAGAGUGAAAGGCGCUUUCGGGUGUCGCUGAUGGAUGGACCCGCGGUGCAUUAGCUAGUUGGUGAGGUAACGGCUCACCAAGGCCACGAUGCAUAGCCGACCUGAGAGGGUGAUCGGCCACACUGGGACUGAGACACGGCCCAGACUCCUACGGGAGGCAGCAGUAGGGA